rnacentral:lncRNA from 1 species
GCAAACUGUUGGUGAUUGUAAUAGUAUGCAAAAUAGAACCUGAAUGAUGAAAUUGCGGUUAACUUUCGAUGUGGAAAAAAAGCUGAGCCAAACUUUGAAAGUUUCCACCACUUCCACUUUUCAGCCAAUAUAAGGGCUUGGCUGGGCAUCAGUGGUGGAGAGAUCCAUCCACCUGCUAACAGCCAACCACAGCCACAGCGACAAUGAAAUACUUUCUCCUGACCGUUGUGCUUUUUUCCUGGAUCGCUGUAUUUCAAGCAUUGCACAGAGAUCUGCCUUAUAAUAAAUGCCGUUGUCAGAGCAUGGCAACCAACUGUGUGAAUAUCAACCCGAAAGCUGUGAAGGAAGUCCAGAUCAUCCCGAAGACGGCCCUAUGCCACCGCACUGAGAUCUUGAUUACCCGGAAGAACAACACAACCAUUUGCCUGCACCCGAAUGCACCAUGCAUCAAAAAGGCCAUUGAAAAAUUUGUAAAAUGAGGAUCAAGGAUUCUGAUGACAGCUAAACAUCAAGAUAAAAUAACAUACAAGUUAAACAAAAUUUUUU